CGCACGCAUCUCGCCACACUGUGUGUGUGUGUGGGAGAAAUCCAUCUAAGCUGUGUGUUAGGUUUGGGGAGGAGCUUAACCCCCUAUGGCUAUGAGAGCAGCAGCGGUGGCGGUGGUAAAACCGCGUGGGCUUAGAAGGCUUUUCUGCACUCAAACGUUCGUUCCGUCCCGGUCGCCUCCUGUUGAACCCUCCACCCAACUUUUGGUCACCGAUAGAAUUUAGUCAUGGGAUCAAAUAUAUAUAUAUAUAUAUAUAUAUGGAAUUUAAUUAGUAGGCAUGUGACUCAUUGCUUGUUGCAAUGGUAAAAGCUCGAGUAACAACUGUGAUGAUGUAGAUUCGAGUCUGAGAGUAGUCACUUUGUCCAAAAUAAGAUCUUAGCAAACGAACUACUUCAGACAGACUUAAAGAAGCCUUUUCGAAGUUUGGUGUAGUGGUUGAUGGUCUGUUCUUCUCCUACAGAAGCAGUUAAUUCUUUUUUAUGAAAGGUUCUUUAAUAAUUGUUAACAUUGAUUCUCGGCACGUAGCAGCUAGAGUAGUGACUGAUCGUCUAUCUGGAUAUUCUAAGGGGUAUGGUUUUGUAAGAUAUGAGACUAUAGAAGAGGCUGCAGCAGGUAUAAAGGGCAUGGAUGGCCAGUUUUUGGAUGGAUGGGUUGUAUUUUGCAGAGUACGAAAGACCAGGACCACCACGUGGCCAAGCUCCCCCGUCUGAGAACGAUGGAUCUCCAUGACCAUGAGCAUGCGUCCAUUUUCAAUUGGAUAAGCUGGUCUUGUUAUUAAGAUAUAUUGGACCCUUUUUGUAAGGGGAUAGCAUUAAGAAGAUAUUGAAAUUACAUUCUGGCUUCACUGUGUUACAUCUCGUUAAAUAUCUACUUCCAGUACCUUUUAGAAAAUAAAUUGUGCUUAAAGAUUUACAUUUUCACUCAUCAAACACCAAAGAGCAAGUGGGGUGGUGAUGGUAGUUUUGUUGGUUUUUCUUCUUAUUUUAUUUUAUUUUAUUUAUUUAUUAUUUUUUUUAAGAACACAAGUUUAUUGUGUAGAAGCAAACGAUCUUACAAAAAGAUCAAAUACAAACAUUUAUGAAAUGCUUCAUUAUGUUUGUAAA